CUUCUGCAGACUUCAGGGCACAGCAGCG
rnacentral:piRNA from 1 species